UACGUAGGGGGCGAGCGUUGUCCGAAGUUACUGGGCGUAAAGAGCGCGUAGGCGGGUCUUUAAGUGAGUGGUGAAAGGUUCGGGCUCAACCCGGACACUGCCUUUCAUACUGGGGACCUUGAGUGCGGGAGGGGCGAGUGGAAUGGUCGGUGUAGCGGUGAAAUGCGUAGAUAUCGAUCGGAACACCCAUGGCGAAGGCAGCUCGCUGGCCUGCAACUGACGCUGAGGCGCGAAAGCGUGGGGAGCAAACAGG
rnacentral:rRNA from 1 species